CAGUCGCCACGGGAAUACGUAGGGUGCGAGCGUUAAUCGGAAUUACUGGGCGUAAAGCGCGCGCAGGCGGUUGUGUAAGACAGGUGUGAAAUCCCCGGGCUUAACCUGGGAACUGCGCUUGUGACUGCACAGCUAGAGUAUGGCAGAGGGGGGUGGAAUUCCACGUGUAGCAGUGAAAUGCGUAGAGAUGUGGAGGAACACCGAUGGCGAAGGCAGCCCCCUGGGCCAAUACUGACGCUCAUGCACGAAAGCGUGGGGAGCAAACAGGAUUAGAUACCCCUGUAGUCCCUGUCUCUUAUAC
rnacentral:rRNA from 1 species